AUGACGCUGACUUAUGGUACAUGGUUACAAAUGGUUAUGAACCAUCUGUAUCUACUCCUGGAGUUGUCAUUGCUUGAAAUAAAAUGAGUGAUUAUCAGAAGCGUGACUUCAAAAACCAUCAUAAAGCCAGAACGAUUAUGUUGAACGCCAUAUCCUACAAUGAAUAUGAAAAGAUCACCAACAGGGAAACAACUAAAGAAAUAUUUGAAUCCCUAAAGAUGACUCACGAAGCAACA
rnacentral:lncRNA from 1 species